rnacentral:rRNA from 1 species
GGGAGACACUAAAUUUCCCAUAUCGAACUGCUCACUAACACAUGAUCAACUUACCCUAUAGAGAAACAUAACCUCGGGAAACUGAGGAUAAUAUUUCAUAGUUGAAUAGGCUUGGAAAAGUUUUUCAAUAAAAGAGAUAAAAAAAUGGUUUUUAUCUGCUAUAGGAUAGGAUCGUGGACGAUUAUGGUUGUUGGUGAGGUAACGGCUCACCAAGCCGAUAAUCGAUAGGGGCCGUGAGAGCGGGAGCCCCGAGAUGGGUACUGAAACAACGACCCAGGCCUUACGAGGCGCAACAGGCGCGGAACCUCCGCAAUACACGAAAGUGUGACGGGGUUACCCAAAGUGUUCAAUUUUGAACUGUGGUAGGUGAAUAAUGUUCCCUACUAAAAAGGAAAGGGCAAGGCUGGUGCCAGCCGCCGCGGUAAAACCAGCUCUUCAAGUGGUCGGGAUAAUUAUUGGGCUUAAAGUGUCCGUAGCCGGUUUAGUAAGUUCCUGGUAAAAUCGGGUAGCUUAACUAUCUGUAUGCUAGGAAUACUGCUAUACUANAGGGCGGGAGAGGUCUGAGGUACUACAGGGGUAGGGGUGAAAUCUUAUAAUCCCUUGUGAGGACCA